GGCCAUUUGUCUUCUCCAGAGUGCUUGAUGAUAUACCCUGGAAUUGUCCUGACGUCAUUGCAUGAGUCAGAACACUGAGCUAAUCCUGUUCUGCCCAGAGUGGAGUCCAAAACUCCCUGCAUGGUGAUCCAGGAUAAAAGCCAUGAAGCUACAGGUGGAUGAGAGACCAGUUGCAGGAGUGCAAAGACCAACUACGGCCAGAGAGAGUAAUGCAAAAACCCAGGAGAUGAUAAGGAGAAGCAUCCAGGCAUUCUUUGAAGACGGAAGUCCCCCAGGAGCUGUCAGAGUGGGAGAUGACCUGGGGGAGGGGCUGCCAGCUUUCCCACCCUCCUCUUCCAGACACAUGUGUGUUGAUGACUCGGUAAGGAUAGCUCCAAGCUGGAGGCCAUAGUGCGGGCAGUAGCUGACCUCCUGGAGAAAAGAUGGAACCAGUAAGGACCUGUGCAUGCUGAGUGCCACACGUGAGGACUGCAGGGCUGAGUGGGCCAAAGGUUUUCAGCACUGUCUCUUGGACUGCUAAUCAUUUAAGAUGCUCCCUGUCCCUGCCAUCAUCAGCACCACUUGCUCAGGAACUGCUUAUUGCUCACUACUAUCUCUGACCAGGUAUUUUUAUUUCCUGCCUAUCUGCCUUCCUGUUCAGUGUCAACUUUCCAAGGUAGUUCUACCCUACGGCAGAAAUAAUAUUUAUUUAAUAGCUGCCAUCUGCUAUGUACAGAAGCAGCCUUGUCUCCUAGUAUGCAUAGAAGUAGCAUGACUCCUAUUGUGUUGCUGGGCACAGGAGUAGUCUGGUAGGGUUGGUAGUAGUAACAGAAACAGGACCUGCUUCCUUACUGCAGGUCUUUCUUAGACAGAUGUAAGGUGGUCUAGGAGUUUUCUAAGGUUCUUAGACUGAGUUUAGCUGUCAGCUUACAGAUCUUGGUUAUGAAGCUCCCAGAAAGCUGAGGGUUAGAAAGAUGGAUUGACUUCAUUUUAGGAGAGACCAGGAGAUUUGAGAUUAGUUUUGAAUGCUGCUAGAUUGGAGCCCAAGAUAUGCCCAGUCAGUCUCAGAGUAGAUCAGGGAACCCCACAUGCCAUGCAUCCUGUGGGUUGGGAGUAGACCAGAGAACCCAGGCUAUGUCACGAUACCCGAGCCCUGUCUUCCUCCUGCCUUGGCCCCUGCCUUGCUCAUCCUCCCAACUUCAGUGUAGGCCACAGUUAAAAUUAAACCACAGUAGUCUAAAAAGCAGAUUCCUUUUGCCAGGUGCUCCUAGGAGAUAGAACCAACAGCCGUUUUGCUUCUGGGCUUUAGCCUAGGAAUGCAGUCAAUGACUGUUGCAUGGAAAAUUUAGCAGUUGAGCUCUGCCAGGGUCAGUUUCUUUCACCCUCCAUUAUCAUGCAAAGCUGUAUCCUCGGUUCUGGCCCAAGCUUUCAGGAGAAAGAUGGCUCCAGACAGCCUCAUGCCUCCUUGACAUAGACGGCAAGUUCUACUACCAAUCGGAAAGCUUGAGCAGCCACUCCUCUCCUGUGUGACUCCUCCACGGGUGUCAGGUGGGGAAUCAGUGUGUGAAUGUCUGGCUGCAAAUCUAAGUCACCAGCAAGUCACUUUUAACUUCUCCACGCCUUCAUUUUUGCGCUGGCAAAGAUGAUAAAAAUUCUAUUUCGUGGAAUUGUUGUGCAGAUUAAAUGAAUUAAUAUAUCCAAAAGCACUUGAAACAGUGCCUGGCACAGCCUAAGUGCUCCAUAAAUAUUAGCUAACAUCGUUACUAACGAUAUAAUGGACGUCAGACGCCAUCCUUUACACCUGGUACUUUGUUCUCGCAGGGCAAAGCUCGGGGCAGUACUAUCAUCUCCCUUUUGCUGUAAGGGAACGGAGUCAAAGAGAAGCAAAGGAACUUGAGGUCUAGGAAGUGAAACUAAGGAGUCAGGCCCAGAGGGCUCUUGGCUCUAACCCAGUGAUGGGGAACAUUUUAGGGACCGAGUGCCCAAAUGACAAGGUAAAACCCACUUUUUCUAUCUAUUGCAAAGUGCCAACACUGCGAUCAAACGUGAACACUGAGGUUUUAGUUAGAAAAAAACAAUUACAAUCCAGAGCCAACAGAGAGGGCUCUGCAUGCCCACUGUGGCACGCGUGCCACAGGUUUGCCAACACUGUUGUAGUCACUGUGUAACACUGUCCCGUGGAAGCAACUUCCCAGAGGGGUUCACUGGAUGCACUGUUGCAGAUCAUGUUUCCUUAGAAACAGGGAGCCCUGCUGAGCUCCUCUUCGAGUAUGCUGGCAACCACUUCUUAUAGCACAGAAAGUUACAGGGCCCACAUCUCUGCUUAGUUGCUGGCUCUGGCAAGUAGGGAAUCAGAAUGAGACUCAGCAGUCAUAACAGCUAACACCUUGCCCUCAUUUAAACUUCAAAGAGUCCUGUGAUCUCAUUUUGUAGUUUAUGAAGCUGAGGUUCAGAAAGGUCAAGCCAUUUACCCAGAAGUUCUGCCAUUUACUCAGCUGAGAAGUGGCAGAACUAAGAUUUGAACCCUGCAUUGUCUGGUUCCAGAAAUUAUACUGCAAACACUGCCCUGCACUGCAUGAGGAGUUGGCAUACCUCACCUGUUGACAGCUGAGAGAACACACACAGAGGGUAAGGCUUGAACUCCCAGCCCUCCAACACUUAGCAAAGCAGGAAGGAACUCCAGCCCGCGGCAGAUGCAGGGAAGUCCAGCCACCCAAGGGGAGAUGAUAUUUGUAACCUUGUCAAGAGGGACAGGACUCUAGCCACCCCU
ensembl:lincRNA